GGAGAGUUGCUCGAGUGGUUGAAGAGGCACGCCUGGAAAGUGUGUAUACGCCAAAAGUGUAUCGAGGGUUCGAAUCCCUCACUCUCCG
rnacentral:tRNA from 1 species